rnacentral:rRNA from 1 species
GUACGCUUCUUUUUCACCGGAGCUUGCUCCACCGGAAAAAGAAGAGUGGCGAACGGGUGAGUAACACGUGGGUAACCUGCCCAUCAGAAGGGGAUAACACUUGGAAACAGGUGCUAAUACCGUAUAACAAUCGAAACCGCAUGGUUUUGAUUUGAAAGGCGCUUUCGGGUGUCGCUGAUGGAUGGACCCGCGGUGCAUUAGCUAGUUGGUGAGGUAACGGCUCACCAAGGCCACGAUGCAUAGCCGACCUGAGAGGGUGAUCGGCCACAUUGGGACUGAGACACGGCCCAAACUCCUACGGGAGGCAGCAGUAGGGAAUCUUCGGCAAUGGACGAAAGUCUGACCGAGCAACGCCGCGUGAGUGAAGAAGGUUUUCGGAUCGUAAAACUCUGUUGUUAGAGAAGAACAAGGAUGAGAGUAACUGUUCAUCCCUUGACGGUAUCUAACCAGAAAGCCACGGCUAACUACGUGCCAGCAGCCGCGGUAAUACGUAGGUGGCAAGCGUUGUCCGGAUUUAUUGGGCGUAAAGCGAGCGCAGGCGGUUUCUUAAGUCUGAUGUGAAAGCCCCCGGCUCAACCGGGGAGGGUCAUUGGAAACUGGGAGACUUGAGUGCAGAAGAGGAGAGUGGAAUUCCAUGUGUAGCGGUGAAAUGCGUAGAUAUAUGGAGGAACACCAGUGGCGAAGGCGGCUCUCUGGUCUGUAACUGACGCUGAGGCUCGAAAGCGUGGGGAGCAAACAGGAUUAGAUACCCUGGUAGUCCACGCCGUAAACGAUGAGUGCUAAGUGUUGGAGGGUUUCCGCCCUUCAGUGCUGCAGCUAACGCAUUAAGCACUCCGCCUGGGGAGUACGACCGCAAGGUUGAAACUCAAAGGAAUUGACGGGGGCCCGCACAAGCGGUGGAGCAUGUGGUUUAAUUCGAAGCAACGCGAAGAACCUUACCAGGUCUUGACAUCCUUUGACCACUCUAGAGAUAGAGCUUCCCCUUCGGGGGCAAAGUGACAGGUGGUGCAUGGUUGUCGUCAGCUCGUGUCGUGAGAUGUUGGGUUAAGUCCCGCAACGAGCGCAACCCUUAUUGUUAGUUGCCAUCAUUUAGUUGGGCACUCUAGCAAGACUGCCGGUGACAAACCGGAGGAAGGUGGGGAUGACGUCAAAUCAUCAUGCCCCUUAUGACCUGGGCUACACACGUGCUACAAUGGGAAGUACAACGAGUCGCGAAGUCGCGAGGCUAAGCUAAUCUCUUAAAGCUUCUCUCAGUUCGGAUUGUAGGCUGCAACUCGCCUACAUGAAGCCGGAAUCGCUAGUAAUCGCGGAUCAGCACGCCGCGGUGAAUACGUUCCCGGGCCUUGUACACACCGCCCGUCACACCACGAGAGUUUGUAACACCCGAAGUCGGUGAGGUAACC